rnacentral:tRNA from 1 species
GGAGAGGUGCCGGAGCUGGCUUAACGGGGCGGUCUCGAAAACCGUUGUUCGCGCUAUGUGAACCGGGGGUUCGAAUCCCUCCCUCUCCG